rnacentral:tRNA from 1 species
GGGUAUAAAGCUCAGUGGUAGAGCACACGUGCUUAGCAUGCACGAGGACCUGGGUUCAAUCCCCAAUCCCUCCA